rnacentral:rRNA from 1 species
GGGUGAGUAACACGUGAGUAACCUGCCCUUAACUCUGGGAUAAGCCUGGGAAACUGGGUCUAAUACCGGAUAUGACUCCUCAUCGCAUGGUGGGGGGUGGAAAGCUUUUUGUGGUUUUGGAUGGACUCGCGGCCUAUCAGCUUGUUGGUGAGGUAAUGGCUCACCAAGGCGACGACGGGUAGCCGGCCUGAGAGGGUGACCGGCCACACUGGGACUGAGACACGGCCCAGACUCCUACGGGAGGCAGCAGUGGGGAAUAUUGCACAAUGGGCGCAAGCCUGAUGCAGCGACGCCGCGUGAGGGAUGACGGCCUUCGGGUUGUAAACCUCUUUCAGUAGGGAAGAAGCGAAAGUGACGGUACCUGCAGAAGAAGCGCCGGCUAACUACGUGCCAGCAGCCGCGGUAAUACGUAGGGCGCAAGCGUUAUCCGGAAUUAUUGGGCGUAAAGAGCUCGUAGGCGGUUUGUCGCGUCUGCCGUGAAAGUCCGGGGCUCAACUCCGGAUCUGCGGUGGGUACGGGCAGACUAGAGUGAUGUAGGGGAGACUGGAAUUCCUGGUGUAGCGGUGAAAUGCGCAGAUAUCAGGAGGAACACCGAUGGCGAAGGCAGGUCUCUGGGCAUUAACUGACGCUGAGGAGCGAAAGCAUGGGGAGCGAACAGGAUUAGAUACCCUGGUAGUCCAUGCCGUAAACGUUGGGCACUAGGUGUGGGGGACAUUCCACGUUUUCCGCGCCGUAGCUAACGCAUUAAGUGCCCCGCCUGGGGAGUACGGCCGCAAGGCUAAAACUCAAAGGAAUUGACGGGGGCCCGCACAAGCGGCGGAGCAUGCGGAUUAAUUCGAUGCAACGCGAAGAACCUUACCAAGGCUUGACAUGGGCCGGACCGGGCUGGAAACAGUCCUUCCCCUUUGGGGCCGGUUCACAGGUGGUGCAUGGUUGUCGUCAGCUCGUGUCGUGAGAUGUUGGGUUAAGUCCCGCAACGAGCGCAACCCUCGUUCCAUGUUGCCAGCGCGUAAUGGCGGGGACUCAUGGGAGACUGCCGGGGUCAACUCGGAGGAAGGUGGGGACGACGUCAAAUCAUCAUGCCCCUUAUGUCUUGGGCUUCACGCAUGCUACAAUGGCCGGUACAAAGGGUUGCGAUACUGUGAGGUGGAGCUAAUCCCAAAAAGCCGGUCUCAGUUCGGAUUGGGGUCUGCAACUCGACCCCAUGAAGUCGGAGUCGCUAGUAAUCGCAGAUCAGCAACGCUGCGGUGAAUACGUUCCCGGGCCUUGUACACACCGCCCGUCAAGUCACGAAAGUUGGUAACA